rnacentral:lncRNA from 1 species
AAAUUCAGAGUUAUGGUCUACUUUCACAGGAACAGAUCAGUCGGUCUGAAGAGGGCCCCAGGUGGUCCACGCACCACACUUUGCUGGACACUGUUCUAAUGUGUUGGUGAAUCAUACCUAGAAAUGGCUGUUGUGAAUUCUGGACGUGGAGCCUCUUUGGGAUCUUGGACCUCUCUUUUUGCAUUGCCAUAAAUAUGAAAGAUGGUAUUAAUAUGUAUCUGGACAGCUUCUAUAUUGAUUGAACAUCAAAUUUAUCUUCGCUACUCACUAUUUCCUGAUGAUGACCUCAAAAUGAAUAAGACCUUAUCAGUGUUUUGUUGUCAGCUUUCAGAAUUGGGAAUCACACCUUACUGCAGAGCCUGGCCUGAUGUAAUGGCAGUUUGACAAGUGUCUUAUUCUGUUUGGGCUGCUGUCACAAGAUACCACCAACUGGGUAGCUCAUAAACCACAGACAUUGACUUCUCACCGUUCCGGAGACUGGAAGCCUGAGAUCCGUGUAUCAGCGUGGCCAGGUAAGGGCCAUCUUCUGGGUGCAGACUUCUUUUUGGAUCUUCACAUACUGGAAGGGAUGAGCUGGCUCUCCAGGGCGUGCUUAAUAAGAGUAUCAAUCCCAUUCCUGUGGGCUCUGCCCUCACGACCUCAUCACCUCCCAAAGGCCCCACCCCCUAAUGCUAUCACCUUGGGAAUUAGAUUUUCAACAUAGGAAUGUGGGGGGCGGGGGCAUAGACAUUUAGACCACAGCAGUAAGUUAUCCUGAGGUGGGGUUGGUGGCAUGAGAAGGUUUUUAGUGAUUGGAUUAUGAACAGUUCACUAAAACUCAGGGCCUUGGAGAGUUAGCAGUGGUGCCCAUGGAGGGAGGCUUUCAGGCCCUAAUUCAGCCCAACACUGGAUUGGGAAUGGUAGUGAAGAACUAGCAUAGACAAAUGGGAACACAGGGUCUCAGGCUGACUGAGGCCCACACUUAGGGAAGCAGAGGAUGGCCACAGAUGCCUUGUGAGAAGUUUAUGGCAAUUCUCAGUUCUCUGACAGCGGUAAUAACCCUCCUGAUCUAUGCCCAGCUGCCCAAAGCAUCCAUCCAGAUGUGUGCUCCAGCAUUUGGCUCACUUGUUAAGCUUCUUCCCAUUAACUGCACAGUCUCUGC